rnacentral:tRNA from 1 species
GCGCCCUUAGCUCAACGGACCAGAGCACCUGGCUUCGGACCAGGGGGUUGGGGGUUCGAAUCCUCCAGGGCGCGCCA